CAUGAGUCAGAAAUUCAAGCCACCAGAUGCUUUCCAACUAACAGGGACCAAAUGGGACCGUUCUAAGAUAUCCUAAAAGAUUUGGGAGUUAGAGGAGGUAAACUAAGAUAAUUAUAUUACAAAGGGUACAAGACCACAAGACAACAACCGACUCCGGAAUUCUUGGACCUCCGCCUUCCGUACAAGGUGCUGGGCCUGGGAACUUGGGAUGGGGGAGGGGGACACAUUGCGCGGUGGCCCUGAGGUGACGGGGAGACGCAGGGCGAGCCGUGUCCCUCAAUCUAAGGGGAGAAAUAGGAGCGCACACAUGGGUCACCCAACGAAGCAAGGCGUCCCUGUGAACUGUGCGGCUGGCUCUUGGGGGCAACACCAGGGCUGACCUGAGGAAAGGGCAACCAGUACUCCCAGCGAUGACUUCGGGUCGGCGGAAGGAAAAGACCUGAGCGCUAAGAGCUUGGGAUACGGGUCAGGCCCAUCCUUAGGGGAAACCGGCUGGGAAGCGAGGGGGGGCGCAGGCCGAGCCGGAACGAGACACAGACCGGGUAGGUCAAGGGAGGGGGGGUGUCCGGCUGGGGCAGUUACAAGCACGGGAAUCGGCGAGGCUCAGCAGCCCGCUUCCCGUCUUGGGUCAUCCUUCUGCUAGCGGCUGCUCCGACUGUUCCAGGCCCAGCCGCCCCGUCCACUGCCACCACCAACGCCGCCGCCAUCUUACACUGGCCAGCGGCCGCCACCACCACCGCCUCCGCUCUCUGCGCUUGCGCCUGCGCUGCCACGCUUUCCGGCCCCGUUUGCGACGAUGUGCUCGAGAAGACUGAGGGAAGAGUGGUCGCGCGAGCUCACGGCUCGCAACCCUCCUCGAAGGACGCACAAGGGGCGGGGCUUAAGGCCAACGGAAAACAGAGCGAGAGGCGCCUGCGCAUUACCGAAGAGGCAAAGUUGUUUUUGUAGUUUCUUCGGGCUUGCUUAUCUUGUGAUACUCUAAACAAAUGCGAGUUAGGGGCUACCCAGAGUUGUGAUAGAAAUAAACUAAAUUUCCAGCGGAUUGGCAGGCCACUUCCUGGAUGAUGGCCAGUUUUGCCGUUUUUGAACACUGGAACGAGCAAUGAUUGCCACAAGGAUUUCUUCUGAAAAUCCCCGUUUCCUUUCAGGGCUUUGUUUCCUUAAGUGGUUUCUAUACUAUCGAGGCCCAUUUUCCCCUGAGAGUCCCCAUUUACGUAUUUUUAAAGAAGGGGCUCAGUAGCUUGAGGUGUAGCUAUUCCAGAAGCUCUUUUCUGAAGAGAGGUGGUGUGGGUAAAGGUUCCCAAGAGUGGGCCGGGUGAUGUGGGGUGACUUUUGUACUCUGUUUCGUUAUGACACCUACAGUAACCCUGCAGAGGAUUACUCCCAGCUGCCAGGCUGGGGUAUUUUUUUUUUUUUUCUUACCAGAAGCCCAGGGUGCAAAAAUCUGACCCUUUCUCACCUCCCCUACCGCUACUCUCCUAUUCCAAGUCAUUACAUAUUACUUAAGACUACCGCAAUAGAAACUUACCUCGUUUGUCUACUUCCAUUAUUGCCAUUACAGUUAAACAUAAGGCAGCCAGAGUGCUUUUUAAAAAUGUAAGGUCUGGCCGGGCGCGGUGGCUCAUGCCUGUAAUCCUAGCACUUUGGGAGGCGGAUGUGGGCGGAUCACUUGAGGUCAGGAGUUCGAAACUCGUUUGAAACCAGGCCAACAUGGUGAAACCCGUCUCUACGAAAAAUACAAAAAAAAAAAAAAAAAAAAAAAAGUAAUGUCGUAUUAUUUCCCCAGUCCCCACCCUGCUCAAAACCUCCAAUUCCCAUCACAUAAUAAAAGUCAAAAGUAUGAUAGCCUUAGAGGCCAUCAAAAAAUGAAUUGCCUCUAAGGAGGACCCUACAUGAUCUGAUCUAGCACCUGCCUAUUUAUCUGAUUCAUCUCCUCCCACACUGCCUAGCUCUGCUCUAGCCUCACUAGCCUUACUGUCACUCCAGUCAAAGCAUGUCCCAGCCCUAGGGUUUUUUUCCUUUUCUUGGAAUGUCCAUCUACUAGAUAUUUACUAGACUUGAGGUGUCUAUUGAAAUCCUACUUCCUAACACAGGCAGCUCUUGACUAUUGUAACUAAAAUGGAACCUCAUGUCAUCCUCCUCUAUCCCCUUACUCUGCACUGUUUUUUUAAUAACAUUUUUUACCUAUAACAUUUAAUCUAAAAUUAUGUUUGUGAUCCAGCUAUACUACUAGAAUAUAAAUUCUUGAGGGCAAGGACUGUGUUUUUAUCAUCUUUGUAAUCUCAACACCUAGAAGAGGGCUACAGCACAAAGUAGCUAUUUAAUGCCCCACCGUCCUAUUCAUUCUUUCAUUCAUUCAGUCAACAACUAUUGAAUUCCUGCUCUGGAAGGCCCUGUUCUAUGUGCUGGGGCUGCAACAGUGAAUAGAACCAAGAUUCUUGCAUUCAUGGAACUUAUUAGUGCAAGGGUUGGGAGCAUAGGAGGAGGGGAGAGACACACAGAUAAUAAAGUUAUAAAGAGUACUGUAAAGGAAAAUAAAGCAGAAUAAAAAUGGG
rnacentral:lncRNA from 1 species